CACCCUCCACCUUUGUGCAGGUUUCCUCUAUCAUCAUCAUCAUCAUCAUCAUCAUCAUCAUCAUCAUCAUCAUCAUCGCAGUAGAAAGAGAAGAAGCUACAUGAGACACACAGGGAGAAAGAUCAUGUGAAGAUGGGGCACAGACUGGAGUGAUGCAGCUACAAACUAAGAUGUGGAGCCUAUGUCAUUUGGUGUGGCCCUACUCAAGUGCUACAUCACUCAGAGGACUUCAACACCCCAGCAUUCAAAUGUAAUGUUGGAGAGGUCCUUGGCCGGCUGGACCCCACUUUGGCCGACUCGUCACACCCACCUGCAACCAGCGAGAUGGUGAGGACCACUCAGCAAGCCCACCAGCCACCAGCUUAGUGCUUGGGCUCCUGGAAACCACCCCCCACCCCUGGCCUCCUGGUUGUGUCGCUACCUGGUUCCACACUACAGAGGCACAGGGGGCAUAAGGGCCAUUGUCCUGAGCUGCAGAAGUGAACAACAGAUAGAGGGCCUCUCUCAGGCUCCUUCAUGAAAACUAAAGCUGACUGUAAAAGUGAAGAGAAUCUUGGAAAUAAAGGCACACCAGACCACCGUACUUGAAUUUGUACAUCUCUAGAACAAUACUUAACAGAACUCAGACUUUCAGCCUCCAUUCACAGCCUCUAAAAUCUCUGCUGGAAAUUUUUUUGAUGGUCAACAUUUUGUGUGCACAGUGACAUCAGAUUGUGAAGGUUCUACUAACGAGCUGUGGCAUGUUGAUCGGCUUCCUUCGAGGUUUUAGAUAUUUUAAUUUGAGCAGCUUCUUCCUUAGGAAGUGCUGCUCCUGACUGCAAGCCUUCAGGUUUAUUACCACCCAUGCAGAGUCAUUACACAAUGUAGUCUCCUCUACCAAUUUGCUACAAAUUCAUCUGUUCCCUAUAUGCAAAGGGUGCUACCUGCU
ensembl:lncRNA